rnacentral:rRNA from 1 species
GAUGAACGCUGGCGGCGUGCCUAAUACAUGCAAGUCGAGCGAACAGAUGAGGAGCUUGCUCCUCUGACGUUAGCGGCGGACGGGUGAGUAACACGUGGAUAACCUACCUAUAAGACUGGGAUAACUUCGGGAAACCGGAGCUAAUACCGGAUAAUAUAUUGAACCGCAUGGUUCAAUAGUGAAAGACGGUUUUGCUGUCACUUAUAGAUGGAUCCGCGCCGCAUUAGCUAGUUGGUAAGGUAACGGGUUACCAAGGCAACGAUGCGUAGCCGACCUGAGAGGGUGAUCGGCCACCCUGGAACUUAGCCACGGUCCAGACGCCUACGGGAGGCAGCAGUAGCGAACCUUCCGCAGUGGGCGAAAGCCUGACGGAGCAACGCCGCGUGAGUGAUGAAGGUCUUCGGAUCGUAAAACUCUGUUAUUAGGGAAGAACAAAUGUGUAAGUAACUAUGCACGUCUUGACGGUACCUAAUCAGAAAGCCCCGGCUAACUACGUG